UUCCUAAAUUCGGCUGGACGUAAACUAAAAUUGGAACGAUAUAGAGACAAUAAGCAUGACCCCUACGCAAGAAUGAUCACAGAUUCGGUUGAAGGGAGCAUCAAGGAGAU
rfam:Anopheles stephensi strain SDA-500 unplaced genomic scaffold supercont1.110, whole genome shotgun sequence.